GAAUAUUGCACAAUGGGCGCAAGCCUGAUGCAGCGACGCCGCGUGGGGGAUGACGGCCUUCGGGGUGUAAACUCCUUUCGACAGGGACGAAGCUUAUGUGACGGUACCUGUAGAAGGAGCACCGGCUAACUACGUGCCAGCAGCCGCGGUAAUACGUAGGGUGCGAGCGUUGUCCGGAAUUACUGGGCGUAAAGAGCUCGUAGGUGGUUUGUCACGUCGUCUGUGAAAUCCUCCAGCUUAACUGGGGGCGUGCAGGCGAUACGGGCAGACUUGAGUACUACAGGGGAGACUGGAAUUCCUGGUGUAGCGGUGAAAUGCGCAGAUAUCAGGAGGAACACCGGUGGCGAAGGCGGGCCUCUGGGUAGUAACUGACGCUGAGGAGCGAAAGCAUGGGUAGCGAAC
rnacentral:rRNA from 1 species